GGCUUAGAGUUUGAUCAUGGCUCAGGACGAACGCUGGCGGCGUGCCUAACACAUGCAAGUCGAACGGAGCUGCGAGAGCUUGCUUUUGUAGCUUAGUGGCGGACGGGUGAGUAACGCGUGAGGAACCUGCCUUACAGAGGGGGAUAACGUCUGGAAACGGACGCUAAUACCGCAUGACAUAUGGGAUCCGCAUGGAUUGCAUAUCAAAGGAGCAAUCCGCUGUAAGAUGGCCUCGCGUCCGAUUAGCUAGUUGGAGGGGUAACGGCCCACCAAGGCGACGAUCGGUAGCCGGACUGAGAGGUCGAACGGCCACAUUGGGACUGAGACACGGCCCAGACUCCUACGGGAGGCUGCAGUGGGGGAUAUUGCACAAUGGGGGAAACCCUGAUGCAGCAACGCCGCGUGAGGGAAGACGGUUUUCGGAUUGUAAACCUCUGUUACCGGUGACGAAAGAAGACGGUAGCCGGUAAGGAAGCUCCGGCUAACUACGUGCCAGCAGCCGCGGUAAUACGUAGGGAGCGAGCGUUGUCCGGAAUUACUGGGUGUAAAGGGUGCGUAGGCGGGUAAUCAAGUCAGGCGUGAAAACUAUGGGCUUAACUCAAAGACUGCGCUUGAAACUGAAUAUCUUGAGUGAAGUAGAGGUAAGCGGAAUUCCCGGUGUAGCGGUGAAAUGCGUAGAGAUCGGGAGGAACACCAGUGGCGAAAGCGGCUUACUGGGCUUUUACUGACGCUGAGGCACGAAAGCAUGGUAGCAAACAGGAUUAGAUACCCUGGUAGUCCAUGCCGUAAACGAUGAUUACUAGGUGUGGGGGGGACUGACCCUUCCGUGCCGGAGUUUA
rnacentral:rRNA from 1 species